GGCACAGGCAACUAUUCCAUCCCCCCAGCAUGUUGGCGUCGUUGGGACACUAAGCGGGGAUUCUCAGGGCCCUUUUCUUGAUGAUCAACUAGUUCUGUAACUUUUUCCAACAGCUGAAUAUAAGCCUGCCUUUGUCAUGGUUGAGAACUACAUGUGAAACUCUUGUGGUUGCACGUCUGUAAACACACGUGUGUGCACGGGGACAGCUCUGACACUGGCGUGGAUCAGUCCCUUGGGAAUGGGGAAGGAGGGUGCGGAGUGCAUUAAAACUUAAGAUGGUCUCAAAAAUUGCUCUUUGAAAUGUAUCUGUGAGUAGAAUUAAGCAUAUCUUUUUGCAAGGAGUGUGUAAGACUGUAUCUAGCUAUAUGCUCCAUAGGCUUUUUGGAUUACACAAAUUCCAGUUCUCUUCACUUCCUCGUGCUGCUCCCAUCAUCCUCCUCCUCUAACCAUGCCCACCCACUGCCAUCCAACUCUCCCCACUUCUCUGGUCUCAAAUAAGUGGCCAUAUUUCCCAUAUUAUUUUUUUUUCCCAGCCUAAUUGCCAUUUUAAACUUUAAAAAAGCUCCAGCAGAUUCUGUGGCAGCUUUCACAUCCCCCAGCAGCCUUGCCGCCUUCAGUGCACUUGAUCAGAACAGUCAAAUUACACCGCUAAUUGCUGAAUUUACAGCUGUUUCAGUUCGGGUGUUAAAUGAUGUGUGAGUGGGGUUUUUAUGCAGAAAGUGCUGGUGACAGAAGGAUUUAUUAAACCUGCUCUUGUUAACGCUGAUGAGUUUCUCGGAGGUUCGCAGUAAUCACCUAUCAGAAGGUGUGACCGGUGCCAUGCGAGUGACGUGACAGCUGAAUCAUAACACAUCUUUACGUGGAGUUCUGGGAUUCGGGAAAGCAACAGCAAGUGAUUGUAACAUUGCCUUCUCCUGGCUUAUUUACCAUCUCAGAGGGAGGUGUUAACUCGUGCUUUUGGAAAACUUGCGCUUUUUUUAUUCGUGUUUCCCAGAAAGCCAAGUUUUUGAUUUCUAGUGUGAAAUCAAGCAGGUAGGAUCCGGGAGUGGGGAAAGCCCUUUCUACGGUCUAAGGAGGAGGAAAACUGGCACUUCUCUCCUGUUGUCUGUGUGUUGUAACCCACGUGCUACUCGUGGCACCUCUGAACACCUCCCACCUGGGUCCUAGGUCACAUGCGGAGGGAAGCAAAGCUCAUGGCCCAGCUGGAGACGCACUGGUUCUGGGUGCUGGGUUGCGACACGGGGAGGGUUACAGCACAGGUGGCAGGGCUCCUUGGACUUCCUUGAUUUCCAGGGGCUUCCUUGGAAAGGCUGGUGGCCUGGAGGUGGCACUGACCAAAAAUGUCCUCAGCUGGUCCAAGCAGUCCAAUCUUGAACAUGGGCUUUUGGGCAGUUUGGGUAGGCCCAUGGAGGAAGUGGCUCAGGGGUCCGUGUGUCUUGUUAAUAAACCUCUCAUACACCAACUCCAACAGCACUGUUGUACAAGCAAGUGCAAAUAUUUGCAGGUCUGGAGAUAACUGGGAUGGCUGUAGGCUUCUCAGGUGUGAAAGCAUGACUGCUGCAGGAGCAAUCUGUUGGUGUGCGACUUGCAGCUUCCGUGCAGUCACAAACCCCUGUCUUGAGGAGAAGGGACUCGGUCAGGCCUUUGUCAGGCUUCUGUUCUGAUUAUCACCCAGAGAGAAGAUGCUGAAACAGGGCUGAGUCUUCUGAAUAUUCAUGAUCCAUGGAGUAGCAGACAAGGAUAUACUGCUGAAGUUUAUUUCUCAUGGUUAUCUACUGUGGCACUACAGUCCUUUGCAACCAGGUGCAAUGCCAUAGACACUAUUAAAGCUCCGCUAGAGAAAUGACUCUCCUAUAUGUGCACCUGACAGUAAUGAGAAAGGAAAGAUGAAAGAGAAGAAAUAUGUUCAUCUCCCUGGAUUAAUUUCCAUCACGUAGAUAUCUGGAUGUACUUAGAUUGCUGUUAUUGGGUCCAUGAAAAGUAAGAAAAGCAAGUUUAUCGAGUCUGUUGUAUUUGUCCCACAGUUGUUGCCUCUCAGGAGCCCUACAAAAGCAAAUCAGCUGAAAAGCAGGGCGUUGUGCAUCUGCAAUGUGACAUGUAUAUGACGUACUUUGUAUAGAUUCAUGGGGUUACCUGCAAAAAUGUUUUUGUAAAUAUGGAUACUUUCAAUCAUCAGGCUGAGGUUUUUAAGGACUUCGCUACUUCUUCACAGUGACUUGCCACAAACAGCUCCGUUCCUGCAGAUGCAAAACAGCCCGGCGUUUGUCCAGUGACCACAUAAAAUACCAGGAGCUGCGGUGAUGUCCGUAAUGCAUUUCCCUGUAAUCCUUGAUAAAUAGCAGAGGUGCAGAGCCUGCACUGCCCUGCAGGUGGAGGGGCACUGUCAUAGCCCUGGUGGCUCUGCAGGGGCUUUACAGCUCCUCAUCACGAGCUCCUUGCUCUGAGCAGGAGCUCAGACCACCACCAGCCUGGAGCCCUGCCCAGGCAUGGGCACAGCCGAGGGGGUAUUUGGGGCACAAAGACCAUACAAGGAGCUCUGUCCAAGCCGGUGUGGCUUUUACUGGGGCAAAUGGGAGACAUUUGUGUUGCAGGACGAGCCUUAUGGAUGCAUUCACAAGAGUGAGUUGUGUGUGCCCUCAGCUCCAGUUGCUUGCAGGACUGUCCUGCUACUGUGCCCCUUUUAUGUUGGUGUGUACGUACCUGGGAGUGGUUUUAUAGCUGUGGUUUUCAUCUACCGGUGGUGUAGCAGUCUAAAAAACACUGCUGUAGCUUUUCUUCAUAGGUCAAGUUGGAAGUGGACAUUAAGAUGUUUAACAAACCCGAAUCUGUGCGAGGAGUUGUUUCAAUUCUUGCUUUGUGCAGAAAAAAAAAUACAUUCCAGUCUUUGCAUGACUGUAGGUACUCACCACAUGUGGUUCUUCAUGGGAUGCACCAAAGGCUUUCAAAGCAGUGCCUGGCAUUUGGACAACAAAUCCCCAUUCAGCUCUGAUGGAAACCGGACAAGUGAAAUGCCAAUGCGGUUUCAAAACACUGUGUACAUGGACCAAGCUGACCUGGCGUUGCUUCCUUGCCUUUGCGAUGUGAUCACUUGACUUGGGAGAUGAGAAGAAGGUCAGGCUGUCAUCAUUUUGGCAAGAGUCAAGCUUGCUUUGUUUGUACUGCCUCUGAAAGGCUAGCGCCCUUGCCUUGCAAACAGAUGCGUGCUUGGAAGGCAAAGGGUCUCUCAGUCUUGAAAGACUGAUGAUAAGUCUUGUCUUUUGUUCUACUGCUGAUUGCUCGUCUGGCCGUGGAGCGCUUUUGUUGGGUUAUAUUUGCAUGCAUAUGAAUGGACUGAAGUAGCUGCAUGCUUCCAAGUGUGUCCUGGAAAAACCUAGAGAUCUUGGUGAUGAAAGUAAAUGGGGGGGGGAACAAGGUGACUCUUGCAUGAGGCAUUUAUGAUGAGUAAUUUGCUCUGUAAAGUGUGCUAUGGGCCAAAGGUGUAUUAAAGUUCUUUGAGCCACUUCAUCAAAUUUGCUUGUGCUUGCUUGGUUUUUGCUCAACUGAGGCUGCUGUCUGGCAUGGGCAGAGAGUGAUCCGUAAGGAGAUGGAGCAGGGCAAUCCUGCUGGAGCCUAAUGCUCCUUGUUAGAUGCAAGGCUGGAGAUUGGAGUGUUUGAUCUUCCCUGCCCUUGCUUUGAGAGAAAAGACUUAAUAACAAUAAUAUAUUUUCCUGCUUGUUGAUUUUGCUUAUGCUCAUGCAACACCAGGACCAGAUUCUGCAUUCUGUGUUGGGUCUGGCCAUCUCCACCUAUAGGAUACACAAAAAUAUUUAUUUUUUAAAAAAAUGUUUUUUGAAA